CCUUUUUAGCUUACCUGGCCUAAAAGGCCAAGUGAGCUUUUCUCAUCACUUGGCGUCCGGCGUCCGGCGUCGUCGUUAACUUUUACAAAAAUCUUCUCCUCUGAAACUACUGGGCCAAAUUAAACCAAACUUGGCCACAAUCAUCAUUGGGGUAUAUAGUUUAAAAAAUGUGUCCAGUGACCCGGACAACCAUCCAAGAUGGCCGCCAUGGCUAAAAAUAGAACAUG
rnacentral:lncRNA from 1 species